rnacentral:lncRNA from 1 species
AGCCUGAGCCAAUUCCAGACAUAGCUGCAGCGGUACCUCAUUGGUUCUCCCUGAGAGCACUCCUUCAGUGACUCACUCAACAAGAAUCCUCAUUCCAGGCUCUGCUUCUAGGGAGCCUGGCCUCAUCUGUCUUCAAGAAGCUUUCUGCCUAGUAGAGAACCAUACCUGCAAACAUACAAACAAAAUGUAAAUCAUAGUGUGAAGUCAUGAAUGUGAAUGUACAAAACACGAAACCUGAAGCAAAGGACGUAUUACAAAGAUUUUGGAGAAUGCAUGGAAUAAAGGAAGGACUGAACAAUUAAGCUAUGGGAAGAACUGAAACACAGAAGUUCCAAGACCUCCAGAAGCUGGGGAAUGGAAACAUGCUUUCUAUAGCAUUGCCUAGCGUCGUGCAACUCUGACACUCUCUGUUUCUAUGUAUCUCAAUUCAGGUUUUCCAAUUAUUAGAAGAAUUAAUCUAACUGAACAAACUUGGGUCAGAUAUCUGUAUUUUGAGAGCAUAUAGCUAUGUCCAGGGGACAGAGUAGAAUACAUAGGCUUAUCCUUGGGGUAACUACAUGGAGCUGAGCAACCAUCGCAGUUUGUGU